GGGUGCAUGGAGCUGAUCACUUCGGUGUGAAGCACCAUGUCAUCUAGUGGCGAACGGGUGAGUAACACGUAGGUAACUUGCCCUUAGGAUUGGGAUACUCCCGGGAAACCGGGCUCAAUACCGAAUAUGAUUCCAGGGUGAAAUGCCCAGGGAUAAAAGCUGCUGGCAACAGUGGCGCCUAAGGAGGGACCUGCGGCCUAUCAGCUUGUUGGUGAGGUAACGGCUCACCAAGGCGAAGACGGGUAGCCGGACUGAGAGGUUGAUCGGCCACACUGGAACUGAGACACGGUCCAGACUCCUACGGGAGGCAGCAGUGGGGAAUUUUGCGCAAUGGGCGAAAGCCUGACGCAGCGACGCCGCGUGGGGGAAGAAGGCCUUAGGGUUGUAAACUCCUUUAGUACGGGAAGAAGCCGCAAGGUGACGGUACCGUAAGAAUAAGCCACGGCUAACUCUGUGCCAGCAGCCGCGGUAAUACAGAGGUGGCAAGCGUUGUUCGGAUUUACUGGGCUUAAAGGGCGUGUAGGCGUCCUGAUAAGUCAGAUGUGGAAGCCCUGGGCUCAACCCAGGAAGUGCAUUUGAAACUGUCAGGAUUGAGUCAUGCAAGGGAGGACGGAAUUCCUGGUGUAGCGGUGAAAUGCGCAGAUAUCAGGAGGAAGGCCGGUGGCGAAGGUGGUCCUCUAGGCAAUGACUGACGCUGAGGCGCGAAAGCGUGGGUAGCAAACAGGAUUAGAUACCCUGGUAGUCCACGCCCUAAACGGUGCGUACUAGGUGUGGGUGGCGAUAGUCAUCCGUG
rnacentral:rRNA from 1 species